AGAAUCAACGCUGGCGGCGUGCCUAACACAUGCAAGUCGCACGAGAAAGGGGAGCAAUCCCUGAGUAAAGUGGCGCACGGGUGAGUAACACGUGAAUGAUCUACCUCCGAGUGGGGAAUAACCAAAGAAAUUUUGGCUAAUACCGCAUAACACUUACGAGUCAAAGCAGCAAUGCGCUUGGAGAGGAGUUCGCGGCAGAUUAGCAGUUGGCGGGUAAUGGCCCACCAAGGCGAUGAUCUGUAU
rnacentral:rRNA from 1 species